rnacentral:rRNA from 1 species
UUAGGUCAUUUUAGAGGAAGUAAAAGUCGUAACAAGGUUUCCGUAGGUGAACCUGCGGAAGGAUCAUUAAAGAAUCGCCCCGUUUUUUGAAAUGGGUUCUAUUCCCAAACCGUGUAUACAUACCUUUGUUGCUUUGGCAGGCCGCCUUCUAGGCGUCGGCUCCGGCUGACUGCGCCUGCCAGAGGACCCAAACUCUUUUGUUUAGUGAUGUCUGAGUACUAUAUAAUAGUUAAAACUUUCAACAACGGAUCUCUUGGUUCUGGCAUCGAUGAAAAACGCAGCGAAAUGCGAUAAGUAAUGUGAAUUGCAGAAUUCAGUGAAUCAUCGAAUCUUUGAACGCACAUUGCGCCCCUUGGUAUUCCGAGGGGCAUGCCUGUUCGAGCGUCAUUAUAACCACUCAAGCCUCGGCUUGGUCUUGGGGUUCGCGGUUUCGCGGCCCUUAAAAUCAGUGGCGGUGUCGUCUGGCUCUAAGCGUAGUAAUUCUCUCGCUAUAGAGUCCAGGUGACCGCCUGCCAUAACCCUCCAUUCUUUACGGUUGACCUCGGAUCAGGUAGGGAUACCCGCUGAACUUAAGCAUAUCAAUAAGCGGAGGAA